AGGAGAACGAUCUGAUCUUCUACGAGUGCAGUGCGUAUUCGGGUCACAACGCCACGGAGUCCCUGCUUCACCUGGCCAGUUCAGGAAACAAGACCACACCUCAGAGCCUUUGCCACUAUGGAGGAGCUCAUUCGAAUGCCAGCCACCCAGGUUCCUCUUGGAGCAG